GGCGGACGGGUGAGUAAUGCCUAGGAAUCUGCCUGAUAGUGGGGGACAACGUUUCGAAAGGAGCGCUAAUACCGCAUACGUCCUACGGGAGAAAGCAGGGGACCUUCGGGCCUUGCGCUAUCNGAUGAGCCUAGGUCGGAUUAGCUAGUUGGUGAGGUAAUGGCUCACCAAGGCGACGAUCCGUAACUGGUCUGAGAGGAUGAUCAGUCACACUGGAACUGAGACACGGUCCAGACUCCUACGGGAGGCAGCAGUGGGGAAUAUUGGACAAUGGGCGAAAGCCUGAUCCAGCCAUGCCGCGUGUGUGAAGAAGGUCUUCGGAUUGUAAAGCACUUUAAGUUGGGAGGAAGGGUUGUAGAUUAAUACUCUGCAAUUUUGACGUUACCGACAGAAUAAGCACCGGCUAACUCUGUGCCAGCAGCCGCGGUAAUACAGAGGGUGCAAGCGUUAAUCGGAAUUACUGGGCGUAAAGCGCGCGUAGGUGGUUUNNNAAGUUGGAUGUGAAAUCCCCGGGCUCAACCUGGGAACUGCAUCCAAAACUGGCAAGCUAGAGUAUGGUAGAGGGUGGUGGAAUUUCCUGUGUAGCGGUGAAAUGCGUAGAUAUAGGAAGGAACACCAGUGGCGAAGGCGACCACCUGGACUGAUACUGACACUGAGGUGCGAAAGCGUGGGGAGCAAACAGGAUUAGAUACCCUGGUAGUCCACGCCGUANACGAUGUCAACUAGCCGUUGGGAGCCUUGAGCUCUUAGUGGCGCAGCUAACGCAUUAAGUUGACCGCCUGGGGAGUACGGCCGCAAGGUUAAAACUNNNNNGAAUUGACGGGGGCC
rnacentral:rRNA from 1 species